CCUACGGGAGGCAGCAGUAGGGAAUAUUGCACAAUGGGGGAAACCCUGAUGCAGCAACGCCGCGUGGAGGAAGAAGGUUCUCGGCUUGUAAACCCCUUUCAUCAGAGAAGAUAAUGACGGUACCUGAAAAUGAGCCCACGCUAACUUCGUGCCAGCCGCCGCCGUAAUACGGAGGGUGCAAGCGUUAAUCGGAAUUUCUGGGCGGAAAGAGCGCGUAGGCGGGAUAGCAAGUCAGAAGUGAAAUCCUAGGGCUUAACCCUCGGACUGCAUUUGAAACUGUGAGGCUGGAGUGUGGGAGGGGUAGGCGGAAUUCCUGGUGUAGGGGUGAAAUGCGUAGAGAUCAGGAGGAAUACUCGUGGCGAAGGCGGCCUGCUGGACCACAACUGACGUUGAGGCGCGAAAGCGUGGGGAGCAAACAGGAUUAGAUACCCGUGUAGUC
rnacentral:rRNA from 1 species